rnacentral:misc_RNA from 1 species
GAUGAAGAACGUAGCGAAAUGCGAUAAGUAAUGUGAAUUGCAGAAUUCAGUGAAUCAUCGAAUCUUUGAACGCACCUUGCGCCCUUUGGCUAUUCUGAAGGGCAUGCCUGUUUGAGUAUCGUGAACACCUCAACUCUCAUGGUCUGCCAUGAUGAGCUUGGACUUUGGGGGUCUUGCUGGCCUACUGUCAGCUCCUCUCAAAUGAAUCAGCUUACCAGUGUUUGGUGGCACCACAGGUGUGAUAACUAUCUACGCUGUGGUUUUCUGCCAGGUAACCUCCAGUGAUGGAGGUUCGCUGGAGCUCACAAAUGUCUCUCCUCAGCGAGGACAGCUUUUUGAACGUUUGAUCUCAAAUCAGGUAGGACUACCCGCUGAACUUAAGCAUAUCAAUAAGCGGAGGA